rnacentral:rRNA from 1 species
GAUGAACGCUAGCUACAGGCUUAACACAUGCAAGUCGAGGGGAAACGACAUCGAAAGCUUGCUUUUGAUGGGCGUCGACCGGCGCACGGGUGAGUAACGCGUAUCCAACCUGCCCACCACUUGGGGAUAACCUUGCGAAAGUAAGACUAAUACCCAAUGAUAUCUCUAGAAGACAUCUGAAGGAGAUUAAAGAUUUAUCGGUGAUGGAUGGGGAUGCGUCUGGUUAGCUUGUUGGCGGGGUAACGGCCCACCAAGGCGACGAUCAGUAGGGGUUCUGAGAGGAAGGUCCCCCACAUUGAAACUGAGACACGGUCCAAACUCCUACGGGAGGCAGCAGUGAGGAAUAUUGGUCAAUGGGCGAGAGCCUGAACCAGCCAAGUAGCGUGCAGGAUGACGGCCCUAUGGGUUGUAAACUGCUUUUAUAAGGGAAUAAAGUGAGCCUCGUGAGGCUUUUUGCAUGUACCUUAUGAAUAAGGACCGGCUAAUUCCGUGCCAGCCGCCGCGGUAA